rnacentral:rRNA from 1 species
GACGAACCGUGCGAACGUUGUUCGGAAUCACUGGGCUUAAAGGGCGCGUAGGCGGGUUUGCAAGUCUGCGGUGAAAGCCCUCAGCUUAACUGGGGAAGUGCCGUGGAUACUGCGGACCUUGAGGAGGGUAGGGGCAUCUGGAACAUUGGGUGGAGCGGUGAAAUGCGUUGAUAUCCAAUGGAACUCCGGUGGCGAAGGCGAGGUGCUGGACCCUUUCUGACGCUGAGGCGCGAAAGCCAGGGGAGCAAACGGG